ACUGGAUGUCAGGCUUUGUGAUGCCCUAGGACUGAGACCCUCAGACAUGGCAGAAGUCAGCAUCCUUCCUGAUUCUUGGACCUUCUUCCCCCGCUACCCUCCACGCAGCCUCCCAUCCCCUCCUCUGCAGCAUCAUUGUCCUAGGGCCGGCCACCUUGGCACGACAGGUUUCCUCCCUGGCAAACCUGCAUGACGACCCAGUCUGCCCUCUGCCAGGGCCAAGGCUGUGGCUGAAUUGACAGUGUGCGAAUGCCAGAGCUUUGAGCUUCCAGUCCAAGUAUCCCAGGGCCUUCUCAGACCCCCUUGUCCAGAGCUGAGAGCCAGGAAAAAAGGAAGUGUGAAUUCUGGACCCAGAUCCCUGGGCGAGCUUUCGUUCGCCUGCUAUCCUGGUGCCUAGAUGCUGAAUGCUCCCAGGAAUUAACAAGCUGACCAUCCCGGAGGCCCACGCGCUUGGCUAAGUACAGGCUCCACUCACACCAAAGGAGUGCCAGGAGGUAGCCUGCUCUAGCAGUUCAGGGAAGAUCGGUCUCUGCAGAGUGUGGAGAGAGUUCCUGCCCAUCCAUACAGCUGUUUUUCAAAAGCCACCUCCCCAAGAAAGGUUUGGGGGCUCCUACUGGAAGCAGAGCCAUGAAGAAUCGGUUUCUGGUGCUGGGCCUGGUGGCUGUGGUUCUGGUAUUUGUCAUCAUCGGCCUCUGUAUCUGGUUGCCCUACACCUCUGGGAAGCCCGACCACGUGUACUCCAGGGCGGCGGUGGCCACCGACGCCAAGCGCUGCUCAGAGAUUGGACGGGAUAUCCUACAGGAAGGUGGUUCCGUGGUGGAUGCAGCCAUCGCAAGCCUGCUGUGUAUGGGGCUCAUGAAUGCCCACAGUAUGGGCAUCGGGGGCGGCCUGUUCUUCACCAUCUACAACAGCACCACAGGAAAAGUUGAGGUUAUCAAUGCCCGUGAGGUAGCUCCCAGGUUGGCCAAUACCACCAUGUUCAACAACUCCAAGGACUCUGAAGAAGGUGGCCUUUCAGUGGCUGUCCCUGGUGAAAUCCGUGGUUAUGAGCUGGCACACCAACGACACGGCCGGCUCCCCUGGGCUCGCCUCUUCCAACCCAGCAUCCAGCUGGCUCGCCACGGCUUCCCUGUGGGCAAGGGUUUGGCAAUAGCCCUGGACAAAAAACGGGACGUCAUUGAGAAGACCCCUGCCUUGUGCGAGGUGUUCUGCCGCCAAGGGAAGGUGCUUCAAGAAGGAGAGACGGUGACUAUGCCGAAGCUGGCUGACACAUUGCAGAUACUGGCCCAGGAGGGCGCCAAGGCCUUCUACAAUGGGAGCCUCACAGCCCAGAUUGUGAAAGACAUCCAGGAGGCUGGUGGCAUUAUGACGGUUGAGGACCUCAACAACUACCGUGCUGAGCUGAUUGAGCAUCCGAUGAGCAUCGGCCUCGGUGAUGCGACCCUGUACGUGCCCAGUGCCCCACUCAGCGGGCCCGUGCUGAUUCUCAUCUUGAACAUCCUCAAAGGAUACAACUUCUCUCCGAAGAGCGUAGCGACCCCUGAACAGAAGGCACUGACGUAUCACCGUAUCGUGGAGGCCUUUCGGUUUGCCUAUGCCAAGAGGACCAUGCUCGGUGACCCAAAGUUUGUCGAUGUGUCUCAGGCCAGCUCUGGGGUCUCGGCAGGUGAUCCGCAACAUGAGCUCUGAGUUCUACGCCACCCAGCUCCGAGCCCGCAUCACUGAUGAAACCACCCACCCAGCCGCCUACUAUGAGCCUGAAUUCUACCUUCAGGAUGAUGGAGGCACCGCUCACCUGUCUGCGGUUUCAGAGGAUGGCAGUGCUGUGGCUGCCACUAGUACCAUCAACCUCUACUUUGGCUCCAAGGUCCUGUCUCGGGUCAGUGGCAUCCUGUUUAAUGAUGAGAUGGAUGACUUCAGCUCGCCCAACUUCAUCAACCAGUUCAGGGUAGCCCCCUCACCAGCCAACUUCAUCAAGCCAGGUAAGCAGCCUCUUUCAUCCAUGUGUCCCUCAAUCAUCCUGGAUAAGGACGGCCAGGUUCGCAUGGUGGUCGGAGCCUCAGGGGGUACCCAGAUCACCACAUCUGUUGCACUGGCCAUCAUCAACAGCCUGUGGUUCGGAUACGAUGUGAAGAGAGCUGUGGAGGAGCCCCGGCUGCACAACCAGCUUUUACCUAAUACCACAACGGUAGAGAAAGACAUUGAUCAGGUGGUGACUGCAGGCCUGAAGAUUCGGCACCACCAUACAGAAGUCACGCCCACCUUCAUCGCUGUAGUUCAGGCUGUCGUUCGAGCAUCAGGUGGUUGGGCAGCUGCCUCAGACUCCAGAAAAGGCGGGGAACCUGCUGGCUACUGAGUGCCCGGAAGAGGCAAGAUUGACCCGCAGCCAAGGGACGAGAAUGGGAACAGGAGCAAGAGUGGGACGUUGGAGAACAUGCCGCCUCUGGGUGGGACAGAGGGAGCGCAAUAAAUGGAGGCCACCGCCAAGCUGCGGGAAGCCUUUGCGGGCUG